rnacentral:rRNA from 1 species
UACAGAGGGUGCAAACGUUGUUCGGAAUUACUGGGCGUAAAGCGCGCGUAGGCGGUUCGUAAAGUCGGAUGUGAAAGCCCUGGGCUUAACCCAGGAAGUGCAUUCGAAACUCACGAACUUGAGUCCCGGAGAGGAAGGCGGAAUUCUCGGUGUAGAGGUGAAAUUCGUAGAUAUCGAGAGGAACAUCUGUGGCGAAGGCGGCCUUCUGGACGGUGACUGACGCUGAGACGCGAAAGCGUGGGGAGCAAACAGG